rnacentral:rRNA from 1 species
CCUACGGGGGGCAGCAGUGAGGAAUAUUGGUCAAUGGACGAGAGUCUGAACCAGCCAAGUAGCGUGAAGGAUGACUGCCCUAUGGGUUGUAAACUUCUUUUAUAUGGGAAUAAAACGUUCCACGUGUGGGAUUUUGUAUGUACCAUAUGAAUAAGGAUCGGCUAACUCCGUGCCAGCAGCCGCGGUAAUACGGAGGAUCCGAGCGUUAUCCGGAUUUAUUGGGUUUACAGGGAGCGUAGGUGGAUUGUUAAGUCAGUUGUGAAAGUUUGCGGCUCAACCGUAAAAUUGCAGUUGAAACUGGCAGUCUUGAGUACAGUAGAGGUGGGCGGAAUUCGUGGUGUAGCGGUGAAAUGCUUAGAUAUCACGAAGAACUCCGAUUGCGAAGGCAGUUCACUGGACUGCAACUGACACUGAGGCUCGAAAGUGUGGGUAUCAAACAGGAUUAGAUACCCCAGUAGUC